CGGAGGGUGCAAGCGUUAUCCGGAUUCGACUGGGUUUAAAGGGUGCGUAGGCGGGUUGGUAAGUCCGUGGUGAAAUCUCCGAGCUUAACUCGGAAACUGCCGUGGAUACUAUCAAUCUUGAAUAUCGUGGAGGUAAGCGGAAUAUGUCAUGUAGCGGUGAAAUGCUUAGAUAUGACAUAGAACACCAAUUGCGUAGGCAGCUUACUACACGAUCAUUGACGCUGAGGCACGAAAGCGUGGGGAGCAAACAGGAUUAGAUACCCUGGUAGUCCACGCCCUAAACGAUGGAUACUCGACAUCAGCGAUACACUGUUGGUGUCUGAGCGAAAGCAUUAAGUAUCCCACCUGGGAAGUACGGAUCGCAAGAUUG
rnacentral:rRNA from 1 species